rnacentral:rRNA from 1 species
GUAGGGAAUCUUCCACAAUGGACGAAAGUCUGAUGGAGCAACGCCGCGUGAGUGAAGAAGGUUCUCGGAUCGUAAAACUCUGUUGUGAGGGAAGAACAAGUACCGGAGUAACUGCCGGUACCUUGACGGUACCUCAUUAGAAAGUCACGGCUAACUACGUGCCAGCAGCCGCGGUAAUACGUAGGUGGCAAGCGUUGUCCGGAAUCAUUGGGCGUAAAGCGCGCGCAGGCGGUCCCUUAAGUCUGAUGUGAAAGCCCACGGCUCAACCGUGGAGGGUCAUUGGAAACUGGGGGACUUGAGUGCAGAAGAGGAAAGCGGAAUUCCAAGUGUAGCGGUGAAAUGCGUAGAGAUUUGGAGGAACACCAGUGGCGAAGGCGGCUUUCUGGUCUGUAACUGACGCUGAGGCGCGAAAGCGUGGGGAGCAAACAGGAUUAGAUACCCCUGUAGUCC